rnacentral:lncRNA from 1 species
UUUCAGUGUUUGGUGUAUGAUGAUAAAGGUCAAGUGAUGAUUAUUGAUUUCUGAAGUUGAGAUAUUUGUUCAUAAACUUUGGCACUUUGUAAGAUCCAUCAUAUUUUUUAGUUUACUUUAUUUCGAAAUAUCUUAUUUGAAUUGAGGGAAUGAAGACUAUCAAAUUGAGGGAUCAAGUUUAUGAAUUUCCAUGGAUUAGUUUUUUAUGAAACUAUAUUUAUAUGAAAUAGAUUUGCUUGAAUUAGUGUAAUGAAUAUGAAAAAAUAUGAUUAUUUUUGGAAUUUUUUUAUUUUUGCUUGAUCAAUUUUACAACCAAAAGUCUCUUCUCAAAGAAGUCAAGAAUGGUCACAUUUAAGUAAGUUGAACUUCUUUUGGCUUUGUAAGUUUAUGUUAACCUCAAACAGUCACAAAGAUGAAC